rnacentral:ribozyme from 1 species
CUUUUUUUUUUUUUUUUUUUUUUUUUUUUUUUUUUUUUUUUUUUUUUUU